UGGCACAAUGGUGAAAGCUCUUGGCUGCAAACCAAAAAGUUGGUGGUUCAAACCCACC
rnacentral:tRNA from 1 species